rnacentral:rRNA from 1 species
UGCGUAGGCGGUUUCUUGAGUCAGUGGUGAAAUUUUGUGGCUCAACCAUAAACGUGCCAUUGAAACUGAGAGACUUGAGUGCGGACGAGGAAGGCGGAAUGUGUUAUGUAGCGGUGAAAUGCAUAGAUAUAACACAGAACACCAAUUGCGAAGGCAGCUUUCCAGACCGUAACUGACGCUGAUGCACGAAAGCGUGGGUAGCGAACAGGAUUAGAUACCCUGGUAGUC